rnacentral:lncRNA from 1 species
UGCUAAUUUGCAGGACACACAGAGCCCUGUUCUGUAACCUCCCCCUAGGCUGUGGAUAAACAAACUGGGUCAAAUAAAUUGUCAUCUACCCGGGGCAGUCCACUUAUCUGUGAAGAAACUUCCACUAACAACUGGAUUAAACAAUAAGACUGUUUCCAGUGACACGAUGACUGCCAUACAAAAGCCUUUAUGCAAGAGGAAAAAUGAAAGUGGAAUCGUUCAUCCAAUUAAAGGCUUACAGCAUCCUGAGGACUUUAAAUCAACUUUGAAAAAAUCUGACUUAUGAUAUGUAAGCUCUCUAGGAAUUCAUUCAGAAUUUCCAUGCAUCUCUGUUUAUGACACUGGUUCUCAAACUAUGCUUCCAUGGAACACUAUUUUCCCC